rnacentral:rRNA from 1 species
GGUUGUCGUCAGCUCGUGUCGUGAGAUGUCGGGUUAAGUCCCGCAACGAGCGCAACCCUCGACCUUAGUUGCCAGCAUUCAGUUGGGCACUCUAAGGUGACUGCCGGCUAAAAGUCGGAGGAAGGUGGGGGAUGACGUCAAAUCAUCAUGCCCCUUAUGACCUGGGCUACACACGUGCUACAAUGGGCGGUACAAAGGGUCGCGAACCCGCGAGGGGGAGCCAAUCCCAAAAAGCCGCUCUCAGUUCGGAUUGCAGGCUGCAACUCGCCUGCAUGAAGCCGGAAUCGCUAGUAAUCGCGGAUCAGCAUGCCGCGGUCGAAUACGUUCCGGGCCUU